rnacentral:rRNA from 1 species
UGCAGUCGAGCGGAUGAAGGAGCUUGCUCCUGGAUUCAGCGGCGGACGGGUGAGUAAUGCCUAGGAAUCUGCCUGGUAGUGGGGGACAACGUUUCGAAAGGAACGCUAAUACCGCAUACGUCCUACGGGAGAAAGCAGGGGACCUUCGGGCCUUGCGCUAUCAGAUGAGCCUAGGUCGGAUUAGCUAGUUGGUGAGGUAAUGGCUCACCAAGGCGACGAUCCGUAACUGGUCUGAGAGGAUGAUCAGUCACACUGGAACUGAGACACGGUCCAGACUCCUACGGGAGGCAGCAGUGGGGAAUAUUGGACAAUGGGCGAAAGCCUGAUCCAGCCAUGCCGCGUGUGUGAAGAAGGUCUUCGGAUUGUAAAGCACUUUAAGUUGGGAGGAAGGGUUGUAGAUUAAUACUCUGCAAUUUUGACGUUACCGACAGAAUAAGCACCGGCUAACUCUGUGCCAGCAGCCGCGGUAAUACAGAGGGUGCAAGCGUUAAUCGGAAUUACUGGGCGUAAAGCGCGCGUAGGUGGUUUGUUAAGUUGGAUGUGAAAUCCCCGGGCUCAACCUGGGAACUGCAUCCAAAACUGGCAAGCUAGAGUAUGGUAGAGGGUGGUGGAAUUUCCUGUGUAGCGGUGAAAUGCGUAGAUAUAGGAAGGAACACCAGUGGCGAAGGCGACCACCUGGACUGAUACUGACACUGAGGUGCGAAAGCGU